GCGUCGGUGGGGCAACGAUUUAGCACAUGCCCUCAAAAAGAGUAAAAUCUGGGUUCGAAUCCCGACUGACGCA